rnacentral:lncRNA from 1 species
ACGGGUGCAAGGUGCGCGUUGGUGAUCUGUCUUGGAGGAUCACGCGGUGACGCAAGCACAGAUUUUUAUGUCUGAUUUUCCAAUGCUUUUGCAAGACGUUGACAGCAUUUUUGCGCGUCGCAAUUGGUUCGCCCCUUUUGUCCUCCCUUUGGCGCGUCCUCGGCGCCAGACAGGUGGCGUGGCGGCAUACGUGCGGGAGUCGUCUAUGGCGCCGUGCCGACGGCCCGUUCUUUACAUUUCCUACCAAUAAACAGUCGCAAAAC